GUGGGGUAACAGCCUACCCACGCGACGACGGGUAGCCGGCCUGAGAGGGCGACCGGCCACACUGGGACUGAGACACGGCCCAGACUCCUACGGGAGGCAGCAGUGGGGAAUAUUGCGCAAUGGGCGAAAGCCUGACGCAGCGACGCCGCGUGGGGGAUGAAGGCCUUCGGGUUGUAAACCCCUUUCGGCAGGGACGAAGCGAAAGUGACGGUACCUGCAGAAGAAGCGCCGGCUAACUACGUGCCAGCAGCCGCGGUAACACGUAGGGCGCAAGCGUUGUCCGGAAUCAUUGGGCGUAAAGAGCUCGUAGGCGGUCCGUUGCGUCCGCUGUGAAAACUCGGGGCUUAACCCCGAGCUUGCAGUGGAUACGGGCAGACUAGAGGUAGGUAGGGGAGAAUGGAAUUCCCGGUGUAGCGGUGAAAUGCGCAGAUAUCGGGAGGAACACCGGUGGCGAAGGCGGUUCUCUGGGCCUUACCUGACGCUGAGGAGCGAAAGCGUGGGGAGCGAACAGGAUUAGAUACCCUGGUAGUCCACGCCGUAAACGUUGGGCGCUAGGUGUGGGGUCCUUCCACGGACUCCGUGCCGCAGCUAACGCAUUAAGC
rnacentral:rRNA from 1 species